rnacentral:rRNA from 1 species
UACGUAGGGUCCGAGCGUUGUCCGGAAUUAUUGGGCGUAAAGGGCUCGUAGGCGGUUUGUCACGUCGGGAGUGAAAACUCAGGGCUCAACCCUGAGCGUGCUUCCGAUACGGGCAGACUAGAGGUAUGCAGGGGAGAACGGAAUUCCUGGUGUAGCGGUGGAAUGCGCAGAGUAUCAGGAGGAACACCGGUGGCGAAGGCGGUUCUCUGGGCAUUACCUGACGCUGAGGAGCGAAGCAUGGGAGCGAACAGG